CAGGCUUAACACAUGCAAGUCGAGGGGCAGCAUGGUCUUAGCUUGCUAAGGCCGAUGGCGACCGGCGCACGGGUGAGUAACACGUAUCCAACCUGCCGUCUACUCUUGGACAGCCUUCUGAAAGGAAGAUUAAUACAAGAUGGCAUCAUGAGUCCGCAUGUUCACAUGAUUAAAGGUAUUCCGGUAGACGAUGGGGAUGCGUUCCAUUAGAUAGUAGGCGGGGUAACGGCCCUCCUAGUCUUCGAUGGAUAGGGGUUCUGAGAGGAAGGUCCCCCACAUUGGAACUGAGACACGGUCCAAACUCCUACGGGAGGCAGCAGUGAGGAAUAUUGGUCAAUGGGCGAGAGCCUGAACCAGCCAAGUAGCGUGAAGGAUGACUGCCCUAUGGGUUGUAAACUUCUUUUAUAAAGGAAUAAAGUCGGGUAUGGAUACCCGUUUGCAUGUACUUUAUGAAUAAGGAUCGGCUAACUCCGUGCCAGCAGCCGCGGUAAUACGGAGGAUCCGAGCGUUAUCCGGAUUUAUUGGGUUUAAAGGGAGCGUAGAUGGAUGUUUAAGUCAGUUGUGAAAGUUUGCGGCUCAACCGUAAAAUUGCAGUUGAUACUGGAUAUCUUGAGUGCAGUUGAGGCAGGCGGAAUUCGUGGUGUAGCGGUGAAAUGCUUAGAUAUCACGAAGAACUCCGAUUGCGAAGGCAGCCUGCUAAGCUGCAACUGACAUUGAGGCUCGAAAGUGUGGGUAUCAAACAGGAUUAGAUACCCUGGUAGUCCACACGGUAAACGAUGAAUACUCGCUGUUUGCGAUAUACUGCAAGCGGCCAAGCGAAAGCGUUAAGUAUUCCACCUGGGGAGUACGCCGGCAACGGUGAAACUCAAAGGAAUUGACGGGGGCCCGCACAAGCGGAGGAACAUGUGGUUUAAUUCGAUGAUACGCGAGGAACCUUACCCGGGCUUAAAUUGCAGAUGAAUUACGGUGAAAGCCGUAAGCCGCAAGGCAUCUGUGAAGGUGCUGCAUGGUUGUCGUCAGCUCGUGCCGUGAGGUGUCGGCUUAAGUGCCAUAACGAGCGCAACCCUUGUUGUCAGUUACUAACAGGUUCCGCUGAGGACUCUGACAAGACUGCCAUCGUAAGAUGUGAGGAAGGUGGGGAUGACGUCAAAUCAGCACGGCCCUUACGUCCGGGGCUACACACGUGUUACAAUGGGGGGUACAGAGGGCCGCUACCACGCGAGUGGAUGCCAAUCCCCAAAACCUCUCUCAGUUCGGACUGGAGUCUGCAACCCGACUCCACGAAGCUGGAUUCGCUAGUAAUCGCGCAUCAGCCACGGCGCGGUGAAUACGUUCCCGGGCCUUGUACACACCGCCCGUCAAGCCAUGGGAGCCGGGGGUACCUGAAGUGCGUAACCGCGAGGAGCGCCCUAGGGUAAAACUGGUGACUGG
rnacentral:rRNA from 1 species